rnacentral:rRNA from 1 species
UGCCAGCCGCCGCGGUAAUACGUAAGUCGCAAGCGUUAUCCGGAAUUACUGGGCGUAAAGCGUACGUAGGCGGAUCAGAAAGUAUAGGGUGAAAUCCCGGGGCUCAACCCCGGAACUGCCUUGUAAACUCCUGGUCUUGAGUUCGAGAGAGGUGAGUGGAAUUCCGAGUGUAGAGGUGAAAUUCGUAGAUAUUCGGAGGAACACCAGUGGCGAAGGCGGCUUACUGGACCGGUACUGACGUUGAGGUACGAAAGCGUGGGGAGCGAACAGGAUUAGAUA